AAAGCCUGGCUAAUAGCAUGAGGAUUUAGCUGCUCUCCGCCAAUCAUUGUAUUAAGGUCAACUAUAACGUUUGUAAAAACGAAGCGAAAUAAAACAGCACUUUCCGUAUUUGUUUUUUUGUGUAUUAUGGUAUUUGUUAUAAUCAUUAUGAGUCUGUGUAGGAAAUAUCAUUGCCAAGCGUAUUCAAUGUUCAACUAAUUGCUACGAAAUUGUGUAAUUUGAU
rnacentral:misc_RNA from 1 species